ensembl:snRNA U6 U6 spliceosomal RNA
GUGCUCUCUUGAAGAGCACAUAUAUGAAAACUGGAAGGCUACCAAGAAAGAUUAACAUGGCCCCUGUGCAAGAAAGAUGUGAAAAUUCUUGAAGCAUUCCAUCUUCAU